AUACACGACAAGAACACGGAAAUGAAACUCAACGGUCAAUUAAUUCUUAUCGUCAAAAACGCUCCUCUCUCUUCUCUCCGUCCAUAAUAACUUCAGUAGCUCUCAUAAUGACGUACACUCAUCUCAAAAUUAGACCAAAUUAUAAAUCCAGCGCAAAUGAAAUACCAGCCACCAAAACAUGUAAAAAUUAGUAUUCAUAAAAUAAUAUUUUAAGUUAAAUUAAAGUUGAAUGGAAAUUAUGUUAAUUAGGUGCUUAUUUUGAUAGUUCGUGAUAUCUUGUAUUAUAUUAUACCGCACAUUCAAAGGAUAAACUCCAUUCGCACAUCAAUAUCGGAAUUUAAUCCGGCUUGCAAUUCUGUCAGUGAUGAAUCUCAUUCUCGCAGGAGUAUUUAUACUCAAAAAUAAUUUUUAUUUAAUUAUGGUACACGGUGUCACCCUGGAUGGAAAUACUAUACAACACAAAAUGCACAAGAAGGGAAUUACGACUUCUAAAUACGAAACAACCACCAUGAUGGAGCCAAUUGAGUAUGAACUUCAUAGAGAUAAAAUAAUUCCUGAUCUCCCAACUUUGGAUAAAUGUCCAGAGCAUCUCCUGAAAGUGGUUUACGAAGAUGAGUUCACCGUUUCUUUUGGAAAUACUUUAAGGUCGGCUGUAGCUACUGUGGUUCCAGAAAAGGUGUCGUGGUGUAGCGAUGAGCCCAAACUCACAUUCCACACAAUUGUUUUUGUCGACCUUGAUGUGAUGUCACAAGAACAACCUAUUGAGAGAGAGUGGCUGCACUGGAUUGUUGGAAACAUCCCUGACGAUAGGUUACAGUCCGGGCAGACAAUUGCAGAGUACCUUGGACCAACACCAAUGCAUGGUAACGGGACUCAUAGAUAUGUUUUCCAAUUAUUCAUCAAAAAAAAAGGAAAAAUAAAUUUUGAUGAACGCCACCUAGUUGGUCCUACAAGGUAAAUUAAAAUUUGAAUUCUUCAUUCAAUAUAGAAACGAAAAAUUCGUAUAAGAAGGAAAGGAGAAGAAAAAGAACCUUACAGCCUCACUAGAAACUUUAAGUAUACGAUUAUACGUUCAUGAUCAAGCCUUUAUUGGAUAUGUUUCCUGAAGGUUUGAUUAUCGGACUUGUAGGGACUGCAAUGUGGCGCAAGAUUCAUUACAAAUCCAGUUUAAUAAAAGAAGUGAGGCGUUAGGAUGAGAGCACUCCUUACAUUUAAAAUGUGCCUGUCUCACCCCCACCGUCUUAAUUUUAAAGGAUAUCUCCUAGUUUUAGAACCCCUUCGAUUAAAAAUUUUUCGAUUUUCGAUUGGAAAAUACUCAGAAAAAAGUUGCUUCAAUUCUAGUUGAAAUCGCUCUCCUCGAUGGAUGACUUCAAAAAGUUCUUAUUUAUAAGUUCUGUGUCCGUUAAGGAUUAAGGCUGGAUGAAGAGCUUGAAAAUUGCCUUCAUUACUGUGAGAUACUAAAAUGUAUACUUCCCUGCUAGUGCCACGGCCACAAGCUACGGCGAUACGCACUGCGUCAGGCUUAAACAAGAAUGAAUUGGCGACUGGUGUAGGUAAUUUUUUUUUUUUUUUUAAUACAUAGUUAAUAUGUUUAAUUAAAUGAGUAAAAUUAAGAUUAGAUUAGAACAGAAUUAAAUCAUCUACUAGUUAGUUAAUAAUAACUUAGUUAUUAACAGAGUAUUUACAUGUAUUAUUAAUUAAACAUUUUGAUAAUAAAAGUAAUUGAAAUAGAUUUGAUUUUUUGCUAUUAGUUACAGAUUUCUUAAAUAUUUAUGUACCUGUGAUCCGAGACACGCCGGAAUUACCCGAAGGUAUAUCAUCGGCCGGGAGUUGGUUGGCUUCUACUAUCGUUCUAUCAUGUCUUCUACUAUUAUAUACACUACUUUUAACAGUUAAAAUUUUUUUAAUGUAAUUAUGCACUAUCUUCCACUUAAUCUUGCUACUUAUCAUCUCUUUCACAAUAUUGUCUGGUUUUAAAUUAAUGUUCAGUUCGGCUUGAAUCCUCAUUCUGUCAGCUGUGAAUCUUGAGCACUCAAAGAAGGUAUGUUCCGGCGUGUCCCGGGUCACCGUACAAAAUUUACACAUAUCACUAUCAAUAAUCUUAAAUCUCGAUAAAUAUGACCCAAACGCCCCAUGACCAGUAAAGAACUGCGUCAUGUAAAAGUCAGGAUAACCAUAUUCCCUAUCAAGCCAUACCUCUAAAUCCGGGAUGAGGCGCUUGCACCAAACAUCAGUGGGGCUAUCCCUCCAGCGGAUACACCAUCUAUCAAUAAUAUCGUUGUUGAUCUCCACAAAGUCUUCCUCUUUUCUCGACCUCCUAUAUUUCUCCUCCAAUAACAGGUCCGUUGGAGGGAUACCAGAUAGUAUAUCUAGACAAUUCGUAGACGCAGUUCUAUAGGCCAUACAUAAGGCCCGCUUCAUGGGACGAAUGGCUUUAGUUAUUUCAUACAAGUUACAUUUUAGAUUCAUUUCAGGGAAAUUCCCCCAAACAGAGAUGCCAUAGAAAAUAAUAGAUAACACACCUUGAAAUAUCAUAAGUCUUUUCACAUAAGAAGGUCCAAAGCAGUUUGGAACAAUUGACUGUAAGAUAUUAGAUAGUUUUUUAGCUUUAGUACAUACAAUUUUAACAUGAUUAUUCAUUUUUAAACCCUUACUAAGAUGAAAGCCUAAAUGCCUAAGCGACUUUCCAGUCUCAAUCUCUACUCCAUCAACUACAAUUCUGCUAUCUUUAAAUUUAUUUGGAACUUCAAUAAAUAAUGCCUCCGUUUUUUCAGGCUCUAAGGUAAGUCCCUUCUCUUCUAAUUUCUUGCCAAUUUUCUUAGUUACUCUACUACUUUCUUCCAAAAUUCUCUCAGGGUAACUCUUAAGGAUAACAAGGAGGUCAUCGGCGUAUGCAAUUAUCCUAGAUGGAUCGAUUCUAAUCCUAACAACUUCAUCAUACACUAAGUUCCAGAAUAAACUACCAACUACUGAGCCUUGUGCAGCUCCUGAUGAUAAUUUCAUUAGCUCUUCGUUAACAAUAAGAUAUCUAUCAGAUAAAUAGCUCUGUAUAAUUGCAACAAUAUAACUAGGGAUGAGAUUCUUAACUAAACUAUCAAUUACAUCCCCCCAUCUUAAACUAUUAAAAGCAUUUUUAACAUCAAUACCUAUAAGACAUAAGGAUUGCCUAUGUCUACGGGGUAUUAGCCUGUUCUCAUCAUAGAUCUUCUUAAGGGCUUUGAGAGCAUCAGCUGUAGACCUACCACGUCUAAAACCAAAUUGGUUAUCAGAUAACUUCACAAAUUUAAGCAUCCGACCGUAUAAAAUAUAUUCAAAAAUUUUAGAAAUACAGUUAAGCAUACAAAUAGGUCUAAAUUUAACAUCUGGAGUAGUUGAAGGUUUAGGGAUAAGAGCUAACCUAGCCGUUUUCCAUAUUUCUGGGAAGACAGAGGCUUUUAACAGUUCGUUCAGCAUGUCUUUGAUCGCUUUGAAAUUGGAAUUAAUAAAUAUUUUAACUAUCAUAGGGUCAAUAAAGUCAGGUCCUGGGGACUUGCCUGGUCUUAGUCUACGUAAAGCGUCUUUUAACUCAUCAUCUUCUAUCAAGGGAACAUCUUUUACAAGAACCUCGGGUUUCAACCAUUCAAUGUCUUUGUGUUUGGGAAACAGUUUAGUAACAAAUUGUUUGACUUCGAUCUCAGAUAGAGUGGCUUUGGACUUCCGAAGAGCUCAAUUUUCAUCGAGAGAAUUCGCCAAGAAGUAUGACCUGGGUCGACCUUAUGCGGUGAACUACUUUUUGAUCACGUGGCCAGAGGAGCCAGAAUC